rnacentral:rRNA from 1 species
CCAAUAGCGUAUAUUAAAGUUGUUGCAGUUAAAAAGCUCGUAGUUGAAUUUCGAGAUCAAAUUGUUGGUCGUGCCUUGGUACGUACUGACAUUAUUGGUUUCUCCCUUCUGAAGAACCAUGAUGUCAUUAAUUUGGUGUCAUGGGGAAUCAGGACUGUUACUUUGAAAAAAUUAGAGUGUUUAAAGCAGGCUCGCGCUUGAAUACAUUAGCAUGGAAUAAUGAAAUAGGACGUUUAAUUCUAUUUUGUUGGUUUCUAGGAUUGACGUAAUGAUUAAUAGGGAUAGUUGGGGGCAUUAGUAUUCAAUUGUCAGAGGUGAAAUUCUUGGAUUUAUUGAAGACUAACUACUGCGAAAGCAUUUGCCAAGGAUGUUUUCAUUAAUCAAGAACGAAAGUUAGGGGAUCGAAGACGAUCAGAUACCGUCGUAGUCUUAACCAUAAACUAUGCCGACUAGGGAUCGGAUGAUGUUAAUUUUUUAAUGACUCAUUCGGCGCCUUACG